rnacentral:rRNA from 1 species
GACGAACGCUUGCGGCGUGCUUAACACAUGCAAGUCGAACGAAGAGCGAUGGAAGCUUGCUUCUAUCAAUCUUAGUGGCGAACGGGUGAGUAACGCGUAAUCAACCUGCCCUUCAGAGGGGGACAACAGUUGGAAACGACUGCUAAUACCGCAUACGAUCUAAUCUCGGCAUCGAGGAUAGAUGAAAGGUGGCCUCUACAUGUAAGCUAUCACUGAAGGAGGGGAUUGCGUCUGAUUAGCUAGUUGGAGGGGUAACGGCCCACCAAGGCGAUGAUCAGUAGCCGGUCUGAGAGGAUGAACGGCCACAUUGGGACUGAGACACGGCCCAGACUCCUACGGGAGGCAGCAGUGGGGAAUCUUCCGCAAUGGACGAAAGUCUGACGGAGCAACGCCGCGUGAGUGAUGACGGCCUUCGGGUUGUAAAGCUCUGUUAAUCGGGACGAAAGGCCUUCUUGCGAAUAGUGAGAAGGAUUGACGGUACCGGAAUAGAAAGCCACGGCUAACUACGUG